rnacentral:rRNA from 1 species
UACAGAGGUCUCAAGCGUUUGUUCGGAUUCAUUGGGCGUAAAGGGUGCGUAGGCGGCGCGGUAAGUCGGGUGUGAAAUCUCGGAGCUUAACUCCGAAACUGCAUUCGAUACUGCCGUGCUUGAGGACUGGAGAGGAGACUGGAAUUUACGGUGUAGCGGUGAAAUGCGUAGAUAUCAAGUGGAACACCAGUGGCGAAGGCGAGUCUCUGGACAUUUCCUGACGCUGAGGCACGAAAGCCAGGGGAGCAAACGGG